rnacentral:rRNA from 1 species
GACGUAGGGCGCGAGCGUUGUCCGGAUUUAUUGGGCGUAAAGAGCUCGUAGGCGGCUUGUUGCGUCGGCUGUGAAAACCCGCGGCUUAACUGUGGGCUUGCAGCUGAUACGGGCAGGCUAGAGUUCGGUAGGGGAGACUGGAAUUCCUGGUGUAGCGGUGAAAUGCGCAGAUAUCAGGAGGAACACCGGUGGCGAAGGCGGGUCUCUGGGCCGAUACUGACGCUGAGGAGCGAAAGCAUGGGGAGCGAACAGG